GAUGAACGCUGGCGGCGUGCCUAAUACAUGCAAGUCGAGCGAACAGACGAGGAGCUUGCUCCUCUUACGUUAUCGGCGGACGGGUGAGUAACACGUGGAUAACCUACCUAUAAGACUGGGAUAACUUCGGGAAACCGGAGCUAAUACCGGAUUAUAUAUUGAACCGCAUGGUUCAAUAGUGAAAGACGGUUUUGCUGUCACUUAUAGAUGGAUCCGCUCCGCAUUAGCUACUUGGUAAGGUAACGGUUUACCAAGGCGACGAUGCGUAGCCGACCUGAGAGGGUGAUGGGCCACAGUGACACUGAGACACGGUCCAGACUCCUACGGGAGGCGGCAGUAGGAAAUCUUCAGCAAUGGGCGAAAGCCUGACGGAGCAACGCCGAGGGCGUGAUGAAGGUCUUCGGAUCGUAAAACUCUGUUACUAGGGAAGACCAAGUGUGUAAGUAACUAUGCACGUCUUGACGGUAGCUAAUCAGAAAGCAACGGCUAACUACGUG
rnacentral:rRNA from 1 species